AGAGGAGCAGAAGCAGGGAAAGGGGGGGGGGGGGGGGAUCGGGGUGCAGACAGAGAGCGAAGCGGGAGAAGAGAGAGCUCCAUAGACAACCAGACAGAGUGAGAGAGAGAGAGAGCGAGAGCGACAGUGACAGAGACAGUGACGGAGAGAGAGACAGAGAAGCACACAUUGAUCCCAUUUUAGCAGAUACCAGCCACCAUGGGGCACGAAGUUCAUCUCACACAUGGAAGAAUUUUGUUUUUUUCUGCGUUAUGCUUUGUUUUUCCUCUUUUUUGCUGAUGAAGUUGUUUUCUCACACUCCACUCUUCCGCCCCGACUGAAAGAAGAACUGAAAGCGCUUGGCAGUUGAGGUGAAGGUCGUCCAACCCUGGGAGAGAUGGAGGAUGGCUCAUCACAUGCUCCUGCUGCUGCUCCCCCUCCCCCUCCUCCUCCUCCUCAUCAGCCUCAGGAGGAGUCCUGAUGACAUCAUAGAUGCUAACGACUCAAAAUAGCUCCUGAACACUUGCGCAGGUGCACGCAGCGACAGCAUUGCCAUUCAGCUAGCUGGCUAAUUAACUCCGAAAAAGAAGAAGAAAGAAAGUUACAAAAAUGUAAUCAUUUUCCAUCAUCCUCUUUUUUUAUGCUUUGGAUCAUAUACAAAGUCACUCCUGUUAGAGUAACGAAACAUGGCAUUCUCGGGGAACAUUCAACGCUGUCGGUGAGUUUAAACUGAGGAAAACCAUCGAUCGUUGACUGUACCCCGCGACACGCCACCACAGAACGACAGCCAAGGGUUUUUUGGAACAUAUUAUAGGCACAAAAUGUUUAUAAUCAAAUAAUAUAAUUUUUUAAUGACGGCUGAAUCAACUGCAUGUUUAGAACUGAUAAAACCAAAAGUUAAUAACAAUACAUCAACAUUAAUAUGUCCUCCGAGGUAAAAACAAUUAAGUCGUGAUGGAACAUUGCAUUUCCAUGGUAACGAUGAAAGGUCCCCGCAUACCUGCACGUGACAACAAUACACCUACGUGAGCACUUCACGGACAAACGGAUGAAGCCACACAGAGCCCCUUAUCUUAAGGCUGCACUAAACAUUCAUUGCUGUCGGUGGGUUUCUGGUUGAAAUGACUCAUUGACGAAUGAAUGCAGACUGCGGUACAACACGUCACUAUAGGGGCUCUGGGCGUGAUUCAACUGCUGACCUCAAGGAUGGUUCCCCGCCAACGUUCUUCUAGGUGAGUUUUUAACCUCGGUGAUGGCGGGUCAGAAGAACACGAAGUCGUGGACAUGGCCCGUAGAUUAGCCUCACUGUUUAGACAGUAACCAUCAUCUCACAAUGUUCUCGGAAUACAAAGAAGAUCAACUCUUCCGUCGCAGCACUUUCUACAUUUACACGCCUUUUAAGCACCCACGAUGCUACCUCACUCAGGAAACUACAAACACAUUACCUCACUCAGGAAACUCUCUCUCCCCUGAAAACACCAUCCGAUCUGAACCCGUAGUUCACCUGUCCAUGCUGGUUCUACUUAUGGUGCAACCAAACAGGUUGGUUAAUAGGGUCAAAGUCUGUAUUGACUCUGACCCGAGGCUGGUUAAGGGAGGUCGGUGGAGUAUAGGUAAGGCAGCAUCUAUUGAAAUAAAGUAUGGCAGAAAAAAAAAGGUGCCUGAUCUUAGCACAUUGUGGUAUCACAACCAUAUGACUAUUAUAUACAGAUAUUGGCUUUAUUAUGCUUUAUUAUAUACACAGCUUUGUAUGCAGAGGUAAAAACCAUCUGGCAUAUCGUCGUCAUAUCCAUUUUAAAAUUAAAUGAAACCACAAAUGAAUGUUUUUAACACAAAUCUUUUUCUUUCUUUUUUUCAUGCAUUCACAGCCCAUAUGAAUUGUUGCUCUGGCCUGAACUGUUCAACCAUAUUUAUAUAUAUAACUAUAGAAAUAUAUACAAAUAAAAGACGGUUUAGGUUAGAAAGGGUUUAAAGUAUUUAAACACACCCCCAAAAUAUCAAUAAAGCGUUCUUUUCUGUUUGAAGUAUAAUUAAUUCCAGGACCCCCAACAGGCGAAGUACCUUGUUGGUCGUUGUGUAAUAGUUCGAGGCUUCCACAUAUGGAACAGAUUGCGCAGUAAUUGGCCGUUUAGGUUAAGGUAACAUGUUGGGAGAUUUCAGACACACUGGCGUGCCCCGGCCAGAUGUAACACUUGUUCUGUUCUUCCACUAGGGCAGGGAGAAAGUACAUUGACCCAAAGUCAACGUCUUUUAAUCGUUAUGCUCCAACCAACGACCAAAUAAUAUGUUUUGAACAGAGCUAGUGCAUAGUUUGAUAGAUAGUUAAAUGUAUACUUUUGUGUACAGUAUAUUUUUGAAAUUGAAAUCAUUGUUAAGUAUCGCUGCAUAUAAGACAGAGGACUUGUUUAGUUAUACGUGUACCAUAAAGAUUUAUAGUACAGUUAUAUGCAUAGUCAAGUGUAUAGUUAUAUACAAGUGUGUAUAGCUGUAUGCGAGGAACCAGGGUUUGCAUGUAAAAAUG